CUCUGCCCCUGGAGCCCGGGCGGGGCGGCGGCCGCUGACCGGCGGGGUGAGGCCGGGGUGAGGCCGAGUGAGCGGCUGCGGGGCCCCGCUGGCUGCGCCCAACCUCCUUGCGACCUUGCGCACUUCGCAGCCCCUGACGGGGUACCCCGCCUUCCAGGAAUUAAGGUAUGACUCCCAUGCAGGACAAACCUGGAAUUCCUGGUGUGAUGAGAAUGGGGUUUGCUGUCCUGAUUUAGAAAAGCAAGUCGUUAAGCCUGGGCUCUGACUUCAGGAAAGAAAAGAGAAAUGGAAGCUGUAAAAUCCGGGGAUAAGAAGAGGGUCCUUCCCGCAUGGAUGACAACCCAGGAGACCCCCAAGCCAAAGAGGGCAGUGCAGGGAGCUGCUGCAGCAAGACUGCCUGCAAUGAGGACUGCGUACUGCAUGAGCGAGGCUGAGAUGGUAGACGUUGCUCUGGGGAUCCUGAUUGAGAUAAAGGAAUUGAGGCCCAGGCCUUUUCCCAUAGUGACACAGCCAGCAAGUGACAGAGCCAAGGCCCGCACUCAAGUUUUGUGUCCUGUGCUCCUUCCUGUCACCCCUGCAUUUCCAGAUAUGGCCCGGAAACAGGAAGAGCCCUGGGAGUCAGUGACUCCGGCUGGUGCUGAUAAGCCAGAGCUGUUCCCAGCCCGCUUAGCGUGGGCCCCGAGUUCCCCUGGGAGUAGAAGUGAGGAUGAGGACAAUGGGAAGGAGGCCCCUACUCAGGGCCUCAGCCCCCAGCAGGGACCCGCGGGGCCUGACUCUGCAUGCCGCUCAAGCCCUGACCAGGACGAGGAUGAGGACAUGCUGAAGACUUCCCUAAAUUGGCCUCUACAACAGUCGUCUGCAUAUUUGUAAAAUAUGGAGUAAAACAGCCACCGACCUGGAGUGCUCAGGAACUCCCGGCUGCCAGCCUCACUAGACACCAGGAACUGUCAACCUGGUCACCGCCCAGAGACCGCACCUCCUAACACCAUCACACAGAGGACAAUCCUUCACCCUUCAGCAGGUGGCUCUUCAGAGACCUGAGUAAGUGCAAACAAUGAGAUUUCUCAGUAACUCCUUAGGCAGAGAGCUGGGGACGCUGCCUGGGGGCCAGGCCGGAGCCCCCUUAGGAGGUUUCGGAUUCAUGAGGAUGUGGACACAUGGGGACGCAGGCUGCGACGACCAGGGCCCACGGCUUCUUCAGGGGAGCUGGGCAGGGAGGCCCUGCAGUGGAAGUGUGAGGGGCCUGUCCCCCCCCGCCCCCUUCACUGCCCCCUUUGGAGGCCUGAAUUAAUGAAACCCAGGAGGCCUGAGGUUCUUGGAGCGCUGGUGCUGCACCGCAAGGCCUCCCAGGUCCUCAGGGGUCUUCAGUGUUCCCCGGGCCCCGCAGGGAGGGGUUUGUAUGGUUCUGCAUAUUUAACCAACACAUGUAAGAACCUGUAUCUGUGGUUUUUAGUGGAUUUAGGUAUCAGGGUGUGGAACAGGUUUCCAGGCUGGAACCCCCUUUUGAACAAGGGUUUGAUAGGAAACGAGGUUUGACUAGCCUCCGCUGUAAAUAAAUAAAAAUUAAAAAAAAAAAAAAAUCUUUAAAAAAACGGGAUCCCUGGGUGGCGCAGCGGUUUGGUGCCUGCCUUUGGCCCAGGGCGCGAUCC